CUGGGUGCUUUUUGAGACGAGGGUCCGCCCGAUCCCAUCCCGAACUCGGAAGCUAAGCUCGUUAUCGCCGAUGGUACUCGCAAGGGGAGAGUAGGCCAGCGCUCAGA
rfam:Candidatus Magasanikbacteria bacterium RIFOXYC12_FTLL_33_11 rifoxyc3_full_scaffold_2507, whole genome shotgun sequence.